GAACGCACAUUGCGCCUCUCGGUAUUCCGGGAGGCACGCCUGUUUGAGUGUCAUUAAAUUCUCAACUAUACAAGUUUUUAUAACCUGCAUAGCUUGGAUCUUGGGAUUUGCGGGCUUUCACAAGUCGGCUAUCCUUAAAUGUAUUAGCAGAGCUUUUGCCGCUAAUCAUUGGUGUGAUAAUUAUCUACGCCAUUGAGAGGUGACAUACUGAGGCUUAGCUUCUAAUCGUCUUCACAGACAACUUUUGACAAUCUGACCUCAAAUCAGGUAGGAUUACCCGCUGAACUUAAG
rnacentral:misc_RNA from 1 species